ACCAAUUGUAUAUAUUGAAAAAUAAUUUCAAUAAUGUUCAUAUUAAAUAUUUACAAGGCCGAAUACUUUUUCCACAUUCACAUAUAAUUUUUACUUUACUUUAAAUAUGUUUUGUAUCAAAGAUUAAGUAACUUACUCACUUUAUUUCAAUUAAGUAAUAAACCAACUCAUACCUGAUCAUUUUAUCUCACUUUUUCACAUUUGAUCACAGCUUAUCGAUGCCCGAUGAACCAUUCAGAAUUGGAAAGAACACUCGGAUAAUCACACAUAUAUCAUACAAUGCCAACGUCUCAGACGCGGUCUUACAUGUAACCACAUAUCAAUGCCAUUG
rnacentral:lncRNA from 1 species